UACGUAGGGUGCGAGCGUUAAUCGGAAUUACUGGGCGUAAAGCGUGCGCAGGCGGUUCUGAAAGUCAGCUGUGAAAGCCCCGGGCUUAACCUGGGAACUGCGGUUGAAACUACAGGACUAGAAUCUGGCAGAGGGGGGUGGAAUUCCACGUGUAGCAGUGAAAUGCGUAGAGAUGUGGAGGAACACCGAUGGCGAAGGCAGCCCCCUGGGCUGAGAUUGACGCUCAGGCACGAAAGCGUGGGGAGCAAACGGG
rnacentral:rRNA from 1 species